ACCCCAUGAUCUUAGAGGGCUUUUCUAACCUCGGUGAUUCUGUGAUUCCAUGGCUGCAGGCCAGAGAUCUCUCCUGGGGUAGCCUGGGCGGAUUUGCCUGUGGGGUCACUGAGCGGGAUGUAGCUCUUGGCAGCUGCCCCAGUGCCAGCAGUCCCUGACCAGACAGAAAGGAAGGGACAGUGGCUGGUGGUUCAGGAUAAACAGUGCAGCUUUGGGUACAGGACACUUCUGAGCUUCAGUUAGUCCUGAUUUUCUCAGGAAACCCACUUUUCCAGCAGAUCCCUUCCCAGUCAGUGACUGCAGGAGCGGGAGCACCGUCAGUCCACACAGCACUUAAUGGGCCACCUUUGCCAAAGCUGUGGCCACAGAGGGUUUGCACAGACCCCUCUGCAGCUGGAAAUUUGCAUGAAAAAUUACUGCUGCUCUUUCCUUGCUUCUCUCCAGGCCAAAGCACAGGACUCCUGUCCCGGAGGAGCCCAAUUAGAUCCAGAUGUGUGUCCAGCCUAUGUUUUAAACUUUACCCCGUGGUUACGUAAUGCAGGAUCUCAUGGCUGCAGUUUCACUACACAGAAAGGAAAAGCCAUCACAGGAGCUGUCUGGGAAGAUCAGCCACAGCUGAGCCUGGAGCAGAGCUCAGGGGUUCCUUGUCCCAUCCAGGGGUUCACACAGAGCUGCCACGGCCAGAAGUGGAGCUGGCAGGAACCAGUGUCCAGAGUGUCCCAGCACAUGGGUGAUGGUUUUACUGCACACGCACCUUGUGGCCCAGGCAGAAAAGCUCUAAAUCUUGGUUGCCUGUAGGAUCUUCCAUCCUGGAAGAGACUCUCUCUCUCUAGAUGGCAGCAUUGGUAAAGAGUCUCCAGGCUGUCUCCAACCAAGCCAGGGUCUUGGCACACCUCGCUGCAGUGUGAUGUCACCAGUAAUCCAGGGAUUCAGUCACAAUUCCUGCAUCUCUGAAGCCCUUGGUGAGUGCACCAGCUGCCCAGCUGGGCCCUAAGUGUGGACUCCACAGCACAAAGCUGAAACCCAGCCUGGUAAACCACAGGUCACUUUGAGACUGGCUAAAACAGUUCAGGGAAAUGCUGCACAGUGCUGUUAUUGGUGGGGUAAUUCCAUGUCAUAAAUCCAAAGUCUAAUCCCCAGAUCUUCAGCAUGCAGAGUUCGGGGCAAAAUUUCCAGGUACCACUGAAAAAAAUGUGUUAUUUGCUAUGUUCCCAUCACAGCACUGAGAGCUGUGCCCAGGCUCAGGUGGGAACAGUGGCUGCAGGUGAGCUAAACAAAUUACCAAAUCCAAUCAACCAAUUCUCAUUUGUUCCCUCCAUGUUUUCACACACUGACCAGGGACAUGGGACCAUCAGCACAUCCCAGUGUCUCUGCACUUUCUCCACCAUCAGAAGAGCUGCUCUCAUCCCUUCCCUUAGUGUUCCUCUGCACUCCCCACCUCUGAGGUGAGGCUCUGGAAAAAUCCCAGAAAUGGUGAAGUGGGACCAGCAAGGAGCAGGAUCUGGAUAAGGAGCAGGUUGUGAUUCCCAGCCAGAAUUAACAGGGAUAACAGCUCCAUUCCCCAAUCUGGGAAAUGGCUUUAGAGGUCAGCACGGAACCUGCUGCUCACAGCAUCCCACCUGCACUUCAGUUCUGGAAACUCCCACUCUCCUCUGUGGAUGAACACUCAGCUACACACACACAGCUUGAUUGCAGGGAACAAAUUAAGUUUUAAUUAGGAUGAGGAAUCCUAGCAAGGAGCAACAGUCCAGGUCUGAAAUUCAUCCAGGUGUGUGUGACAGUGUGUGAGAGGAGCCAAGGCUGCAGCUGUUGGGAUGGUUCAUAUGGCAUCUGAGUGAUGAUGUUGAGAUGCUCCAAGGGCUGGAGAACCUCUGCUAUGAGAGAGCUGGGGGUGUUCAGCCUGGAGAAGAGAAGGCUCUGGGGAGACCUUAGAGCCCCUUCCAGUGCCUAAAAGGGCAUUGGGAUGAAAUGGGAUGUUGAAAAGGAAUUCUUGGAUGUGAGGGUGGUGAGGCCCUGGCACAGGUUGCCCAGAGAAGCUGUGGCUGCCCCACCCCUGGAAGUGUCCAAGGCCAGGUUGGACAGGGCUUGGAGCAACCUGGGCUAGUGGAAGGUGUCCCUGCCCAUGGCAGGGGGUGGAACUGGAUGGGUCUUAAGGCCCCUUCUACUACAAGGCAGAGGCUGCUGAAAAAAUCCUUCCUGUCCCCAGGGUCCCUCCUCCACUUUUUCCAGUCCUGGUGAACCUCCUGCAUCCACAGCACAAAAGACAGAAGGUAAGUUGUAGAGGGAAUAAAAGGCAAAGAAAGCCCUGUGUCACAGUGAGCAAGUGUGCAGAGCUUUGAAUCAUUUGACUCCGUGUUUAUCCAGCGCUCCUGGGAGAUGAGGGGAGCUGGAGGGAAGCGGAGGAGUUUAGGAAGUUCACAAGCAGAGUGCUUGUGUUGUUUCUGGCACAAAUUCCCAGUCAUGUGUGUCCCUUCACAAUGCCAUUAACCCCCCAUGGUGGGGCUGGGAGAUCUUUGGGAAUGAUCAGCUCUAUUACAUCCAUGAGGGAAGACUUGGACAGUUGCUCCUGGGCUGCCCAGAGGAGCUUUGCCUUCUCCUCUGGGGUCACCUGCCUGCAAAGAGCCUCUCUGGGUAAAAAACUGGAGACAGGGUCCACAAAUCUGUCCUGUCCCCAAGCAGCCCCAAGAUAAAAGUGUUAAAAUGCUCUGUAAUUAGUCAGCCUCAAAGAAAAAGCUUUAUGAGGGCAGGAAUCAGCAGCUCAGCUCUUACAGUCCGUGGCACAACAUGAAAGAAUGUGAUUUUUAAACAAUGCUGUGGUUUAAUUUGGCUCAGGUGUUUCUUCCUUUGCAAGAAAUUCCAACUGUUUGAGAGUUUGGCCACUGGAAUGACAGAGAAAGAAAUACAUAUACAUAUAGUUAAAUGAUGGUCCUGCCUAGUUCUGGGUACCUACAUCACCCAGGGUGAAGCAUAACCUUCUCCAAAGCAAAAUGAAAGCAUCAGUGAUAUGCUUCAGCUUAGGCUGAAGAAGCUAAUUAGUAUGUAGGUGUUAUUUAAAUACCUAAAUUGGAGUUUAUUGGAAUGCUAAAAUGAAUAUAGCCCAGUUAAGUGCCUUUUUCACCUGAGCUCCCACCAGUUCCAAGAGGUCAGAGCACACUCCACACUCACUGGUUUCUAGCUUUGAGUGUCCUCCCGAUAAAAUUGUUGCUUUAGUGGAAGGUGAAUUGUUAGGUUUUAUGGAGAGUAGAGAAAUUCAAUGUAAAUUGAAGCCCUUUAUUUUUACUUUAUUGCAAAGCAGAAAUGUGUGCCACGUCCAGGGCUGUUCCUCAGUGUCUCGCUCACAGCAGCAGAUGGGACAGUGCAGCUCCUGGCAGCAUUUCAGGCAAUUACUGCUGAUAACAUUUAUGGCAGUAUGAGCAAUGCAAGACAUUUUAUUUUUCUGCUUUCUCAAAAUAAAAAGAGAUGGAAUAGAUCAGUUCAAAUUAAAGAGCAGCAGCAGUGAAAGUAGACAUCAGUGGUUUCAGCUCCCCAGCUGCACUGGUGAGCUCUCUAUCAGGGGGAAUCAAAGUCAGUUUUUAAGCAGCUCUUGGAUGUUCAGCUUUGAACUGGCUCUUGUAGAUAUCUUAUAAAAAGCAGCUGAGCUGCAUUUUUCAAUUUUAGGUACAGGCCUUGAAAAGUCAGAGUAGCUGAAUGUCCCCAUGUAUGUCUGGGAAACUUACUGUGUGUGGAAGAAGGUACAGCAAUAGCUCAGCUCCUGUAGAAAUAACAUAGUGCUGAUUUCUUCUGCCAUUACAGCAAAUUGCUGCUUGGUGUUUCAUAAGGAAUGGUUUUGUAGAUGCAGGGAAAUGCAACAGAUUGUUGCAGAUGCACAAUUGUGCCCAAUGGUUUGUAGCUCAGCUUGCACACGGGAUCCUUCAUCUGAACUUCUGGAGUUUCUUCUCUCCUUUUUCCCUUCUUUGUUUCCAGCUUUUCCUCCUUUUCAGCCUCCUUCACUGUUUCCCAACUUGCCGCCUCCGUACACAAUAUGUUUCCCCUCUAGACUUCCUUUCUCUUCUGCAGUACUGUGGGAACUCAAGACAUCAGGAUCAGUAUUUAACAUCAUCUACAAACCCUCUGGUCCUUACUUCCAGCACUGAUUAAAUUCCCUUUGUGGAGCUCCAGUGUGGAUGUCCGAGGAGUUACUGUACAAUCAAAUGGAAAAGAGACUCCAUAAAUCCCAAUUUUCAGAGCUGGUAAAAGCAACUUAUAAAUUAAUCUGAGAAAAAACCAGAUUCAAACAGAGAAAAAAACAGAAGAGGCUCCACUGUGAGCUGGAUGGAUUAAACCUCACUGGUCCAGUUGUACAGCAGCUCCAUGGCCACAACCCUGCACAUGCCCCAAAGAUCUUCUGAAAAGUUAGUCUCCCUCAAAACAACAUUUGAAAUGUCCUUCAGAAACAAGUUUUGACACCAUUUUUUUCACUUUAAUGAUGAUUACCAUUAUUUUAAAUCUCUGUGGAGAGCCUGUGAGUGACGGCCAAACACAGAAGGUGCUGAUGCCAAAACCAGAGAGGAUGUAUCCGUGGUGGGAGAAUACACAGGCAGGAAAAUUCCAGGGAAUUUUCCUAACAGCAAGAGACUUUGCUAAAAGUUAUUUGAUGGAAUUUUUGCUGGAACACUCUUGAAGACAUCUCUAAUUUUUAUGUAUUUAAAGCUCUGUAGAUUUUCACUUUAAUUCACUCCACAGAAACUGCUAUAAAUGUAAAGAAUGUUUCAGCAACAUCUUUUAGCAUAAACGAUGCACUGGAAACAUUACAAAACGUGGAGUAUUCAGUUACAUCCCGGGGUCCCAUGGCUUUUGUUCCACAUACAAUGAGAUGUAUGAGGCCUGAGAGGUAAAGGUUAAAUUAUGGAUAUGUAUUCAGCUUUUCAGAAGGCUGAGAAGCUGUCAGGCCCCGCAGCCCCUCUCACAUGAAAGGCUUGUCAGCACGUGUUGCCCAGAUCGGUGGGAGAUCCACAUUGGAGACAAGCAGACAUGUCAGGGGCUGAAAGGACAAAGAAGAAUAGAACUAGUAGGGUCUAUAAACCCAAUAUAACUUGUGUUUGUUCCCUAACCACUCCAAAACAGAGGCCAACUGUUAACAGAGGCAAAGCCAACUCCAUCUUUUGCAGGCUGACAAAUGGUCAUGUAAGUUACCAAAUAACCCAAGACCUCGGGAUUAAACUUCUCCAAUUGUUUUCACAUGAUGCAACUUUAAAUCUUGCUUUUGAGCAGUAUUAAAUUUCCUUUCAUUCCCAUAAACUUCAGAAAAAGUUGACUGCUCUCACAUUUCAGACUGUGACCCAGCUAACUUGCACUUUUCCCCUCUGCUAGUCUGGAGAACAGAAUAAUGAAAUUCAGACAACAGUGACCAAAUGUUGUUCCGUAGAACUUUCCUUUUACAAAACAGAUGAAUACUCCUGGGCUCCAAAACACUGCAGGGAACAAAACUUUCAAACCUUAUGGAAAUAAAAUAGUAAGCCUAUGCAGUGACUUCAUCUCCUUUAUCAGAUCAGAGGCAUUUUCACUGGAAUUGAAAUGGAUUUAAAAAAACCCACCAACUCUAAAUAGAGGAAAAGAAUUAAAAAAUCCCACUGAAGCCAUUAGUGAAAUACUGCUUUAUUUAAAAACCCCACACCCAUGUGAGAAAAAGCUAAAUUUCACAGAGCUGUAGAGGGAAAAAUACAUCUCCAUCAUCCUCCUAGUUGACAUAAUUCUUUGUUGCAGAUAGAAGUGUGCUUUUAGAACACAGGAAAAUAAAUAUUUCAGAAUUUGUGAUUAAAAAGGUGAUAAGCAAAUGCACUGUGUGCUGUGAUUGGGACAAAAGGCUAUAGAAAGGGACCACAGACACUGCGGGGAGGUUGGAAAGGUUGGAAUUUCUCCCUGGAGGUGCUGAGCAGUCUCGGAUCUCACCAAAACCCCACCAAGUGGGUCCCCUCAGCAUCCUCCCAGACUGUAUUUAUACAUCCCUGUAUUUACACAACCAGAAAUACCCACUGUGCUGCUGGUGUGAGUGGAAUUGCAUUCAUUCAAAGCCCAUUGCAAAUUUAGCCACCAGAGUCAAAAUAAAAGGAGCCAAAUAUAUAAAUCCAGCAGACGAGGUUUAUGGGGGAACUAACCCAAACAUUCAACAUCAAGAUUUAGUGCAGCCAAAUGGUUCUAAGUAAAGGGGGUCCCUUACAUCAUGUUGGGUCCUGGGGGUAUAGUCUCAGUUUUAGUGGCCCCCUAAACUCAUGCUGAUAGCAGUAAAAGUUUUACAUGCAAAAUGAGUGGAAAAUACGAGAUGGGAGAUAGUACAAUAUCAGGCUAUAAACCCGAUACCCAAACCCCAUAACUUCCAUGCAAAUUCCACCCAGGGAUCCCCAGUUCAGUUUGUCUUAACUGAGAGUCUUAAGGGUGAAUUGAAAAGUUGUUGGAAUAAAAAGCUGUUUAAGACGCCAAAUCCUUCACAAAAUCCCUGGGUAGACUGGUAAGUAAAUACACUGGAAAGGCAGAUGCAGAGGCCACCUUGUGAACCUGUCAAAGCACCAAUCUUGGAUCUGUUGUUCUCCUGCAAAACUUGACGUUCUCCUUCCUCUAACGACUGAAGGAUUUUACUGAUUCAUGUGCCUGGCCACAAAGAUGAGAAUUUUUAGGAGGGUGGUGAAAUCUCCCAUGUUCAUCCUGACGGUGCCUUAGCCCUUCCCUGCAGGACUAUUUACUCCCACUUGGGCCGGGGCUACCUGCAGGUGGUGUGAUCAUGGAUUAUUGAGUGGACUAUUGUUCAGUUUUCUAAACUAUUGCCUUAAUGGCCUCCUCCCUGAGUCGGGUUUUUUGAGGGUUGGGUUAGCUGAUUCCUUUUGGAAAAAGCAAACAAAGUCUGUGUGAGGAACUUUGAAGUUAAGGAGGAGUUUCACCUGAAAUUA